rnacentral:rRNA from 1 species
AUGGCGACCGGCGCACGGGUGAGUAACACGUAUCCAACCUGCCGACGACUCGGGGAUAGCCUUUCGAAAGAAAGAUUAAUACCCGAUGGCAUAGUUCUUCCGCAUGGUAGAACUAUUAAAGAAUUUCGGUCAUCGAUGGGGAUGCGUUCCAUUAGCUUGUUGGCGGGGUAACGGCCCACCAAGGCAUCGAUGGAUAGGGGUUCUGAGAGGAAGGUCCCCCACAUUGGAACUGAGACACGGUCCAAACUCCUACGGAAGGCAGCAG